rnacentral:rRNA from 1 species
UAACGUCUCAGUUCAGAUUGCAGGCUGCAACUCGCCUGCAUGAAGUCGGAAUUGCUGUAAUCGCAGAUCAGCAUGCUGCGGUGAAUACGUUCCCGGGCCUUGUACACACCGCCCGUCACACCAUGGGAGUCGGUAACACCCGAAGUCGGUAGCCUAACCGUAAGGAGGGCGCCGCCGUAGGUGGGAUUGAUGACUGGGGUGAAGUCGUAACAAGGUACC